AUGGAUGGGUCAAACCAGAGGGCGAAUAUUAUGCUCCAGCGCGUGAUGACGAGCAGGGCAGAGCAUGCAGUCCGCGGUUUCCCACUCACAGGCAUGACGAGGCCCGCCUUUGCGCUCCUCCUCCUCGUGCUGGCGGCGGCCACCACGGUGACGGCGGCGCCCUUGCAGGCCGACGCUCUUCUGGCAUGGAAGGCCAGCCUCGCCGCCUCGCCCGCGCUGUCCAGCUGGACCAACGCAACGCCGGUCUCGGUCUGCUCCUCCUGGCGCGGCGUGGCCUGCGACGCCGCCGGCCGCGUCACCUCGCUCAAGCUCCGGGGGCUCGGCCUCAACGGCACGCUUGACGCGCUCGAUGCCGCCGCGCUACCAGCCCUCGCCGUGCUCGACCUCAACGAUAACAACAUCAGCGGCGUCAUCCCCGCGAGCCUCUCGCGGCUGCGCUCCCUCGCCGCGCUCGACCUCGGCAGCAACUGGUUGAAUGGCUCCAUCCCGCCGCAGCUCGGCGACCUCUCUGGCCUCGUCGACCUCCGCCUCUACAACAACAACCUCGCCGGCGACAUCCCGCAUCAGCUCAGCAGGCUCCCCGGGAUCGCGCACCUCGACCUGGGCAGCAACUACCUCACCAACCAGCAGGACUACCGCAGGUUCACGCCGAUGCCCACCGUCACCUUCUUGUCUCUGUACCUCAACUACCUCAACGGCAGUUUCCCGGAGUUCAUCCUCAAAAGCGGCAACAUCACCUACCUCGACCUGUCGCAGAACACUCUCUCCGGCCCCAUACCGGAAUCGCUGCCGGAGAACCUCCCCAACCUCGUGUGCUUCAACCUGUCCACCAAUGCCUUCUCCGGGCGGAUACCAACGUCGCUGUCGAUGCUGGAGAAACUCCAGGACCUGCGGGUUAGCAACAACAAUCUGACGGGUGGAAUCCCCGAGUUCCUUGGUUCCAUGUCCCAGCUGAGGGGUCUUGAACUCGGCAGCAACCCGCUCGGCGGAUCGAUCCCGCCAGUUCUCGGCCGGCUCGAAAUGCUACAGCGCCUUGACAUCAUGAACGCCGGGUUGGUUUCCACUAUUCCACCCGAGUUGGGCAAUCUUGGCAAUGUCAAUUCCAUGGAACUAGACAUGAACCAGCUCACCGGUGUCCUGCCGCCGGAGUUGUCCGGGAUGCGCCAGAUGCGUGAAUUUGGCAUAUCAUCGAACAAACUCACCGGUCAUAUUCCACCGGCUUUAUUUACGAGCUGGCCAGAGCUCAUAUCAUUCCAAGUGCAGAACAACUCGUUUUCAGGGAGGAUCCCACCGGAGCUCGGCAAGGCAGCCAAGCUGCAAAUCCUGUAUCUCUUCAGCAACAAUCUUGUCGGCUCUAUCCCUGCAGAGCUGGGAGAGCUGGUGAGCCUGGAACAGUUGGAUUUGUCGGUGAACUCUCUCACGGGACCGAUCCCCAGCUAG
rnacentral:rRNA from 1 species